AUAGUGAGCUCACUGCUGCUGGAGCCGGAGGACUGCGCGGCAGCCGUGGCCUACUGCCUGCCGCGCGAGGCGCUGUGGCUGCUGACCAGGGCUGGGCACCUGGUGCGCGCCAACGCGGCGCGCUGCCCCAUGAGCGUGCUGCACCGCGUGUGCCCGCCGCCGCCCCCUGCGCCGCAGCCUUGCUGUCUGCACCUGUACAGCCACCUCACGGAUCUCGGAGGCGCCUUGUCCUCCUGGGAGAUCGUGCGCCAGCACUGGGGCGAGUUGCGCUGCAGCGCUGUGGCCUGCGCCUGGAAGAACAAGAACCGGUGGGUGCGGGAGCCGGCGAGGGUCUGGCGGGCGGAAGGAGCGGCAGGGUCCGCGCCGACAGGCUCUUCCCACUCGCAGGUACCUGCCAGUGGUGGGGCACACGGACGGCACGCUGUCGGUGCUGGAGUGGCUCUCGUCGAAGACUGUCUUCCAAACGGAGGCGCACAGCCCGGGCCCGGUUGUCGCCAUCGCAUCCACCUGGAACAGCAUCGUGUCUUCGGGUCAGUAGCUCCCCUGCCAAAGGCCAGGCCGCCACAGAGCCCCCUCUUCUCCGACAAGGCCCAGCCAGAUUCCGCUGCCCACAGGUGGGGACCUGACAGUGAAGAUGUGGCGCGUCUUCCCCUAUGCCGAGGAGAGCCUGAGCCUGCUGCGCACCUUCUCCUGCUGCUACCCGGCCGUGGCGCUCUGUGCGCUAGGCAGACGCGUCACCGCGGGCUUUGAGGACCCAGAGAGCGCUACCUACGGCCUGGUGCAGUUUGGCCUGGGCGACAGUCCGCGAUUAGACCACCGGCCCCAGGACGACCCCACGGACCACAUCACUGGUGAGGGGGCAGCAUGGGCGAAGCCCAGCCACCGCCCGGCUCCGGUUUCUGACCCUGAACCUUGCCCCCAGGCCUGUGCUGCUGCCCCACGCUCAAGCUGUAUGCCUGCUCCAGCCUGGACUGCACCGUUCGCAUCUGGACUGCUGAGAACCGCCUCCUGCGGUAGACUGGGAGGUGGGGAGGGCUGGGGUCUCCUACCUCUGCUCCUCACCAGAGCCCAGUGGCUGGACUGAGUGGAGAAGGCCUUGUCCCUGCUGAGCCUCGAUUGCCCUGGGUGCCUCUCCAGGCUCCUGCAGCUGAAUGGUGCCCCUCAGGCCCUGGCUUUCUGCAGCAACAGUGGAGACCUGGUGUUGGCACUGGGAUCCCGCCUCUGCCUGGUGUCCCAUAGGCUCUACCUGCCUACAUCCUACCUAGUUAAGGUGUGUGGUGACAACAGAGUGAGCAAGGUGGGCCCCCCCUUGCCCACCGUGGGAGGGCAGACCUAGGUUCCCCCAGCCAAGGAUACAGGCUCCUUCCCCUAUUCAGAAGAUGUGCCAGAAGGCCCCAGACGUGGUGGAUGACCCUCCGCUGCCACUGAUGAGCCAGGAGUCACUGACUUCCGCCCAACUGCAGAGGCUCACCAACCUCCAUGGGGCAGCCAGCCUCAGGUCCCAUGCAGGCCUGCCCAGCCCUCCUGGAGGCCCUCCUUUCCCACCCUGGGUGGGGGCCUGGCGGUGUGGGGCCCUCUGGAGUUGAUGCAAGCCUGCCUGAGCCCUGGCGCACCCAUUUGGGGUUGGUCCUUGUCCCAGCCUCUGCCCCAGCCCACUGGCAGGCCACCCAGCAUCCCACCUGUGCCUGAUGCCACCCAGCAUCCCACUUGUGCCUGUCCCUGUUUGCAGCAAGGCCUUGUCUCUCAUCCAUCGUCGGAGGACAACAUCUCAGCACCUGGUACCGAAGGAGGUGGGGUGGGUCCUCCUUAGCUCACCCUGCCCAGGCUCAGGCCCCAGCCCUCAGCCCUGGGGCAGGCCUGGGAUCCCUGUGGUUGCCCGGGCAGCACACAGCAAGGCUCAAGGAAGAGCAGGCUGAUCCCUGAACCUUGACUCAGGACUUGGACACCCUAGUGGCCCGGGACCGAGACCUUCAGCAGUUGAGGCUGGGGCUAGUGGUCCCAGCAGCCCGGCCCCCACCCUCCUGGCAGCAGCGCCAGGAAGGCUUUGACAAUUACCUCCGUCUGAUCUACGGCUCUGGCCUGCUGGGCAUGCAGUCUGGAAGGCAGUCCCAGCAGUGGAGCGGCGGGACCCUCACAGUGGAGAGAGAGACCUGGGAUGUGUGUGCUCUACCCCAAGCUGCCCACUGUCUUGCCUGGGCUGAGGUCAGCACUGCAGCCCAAACAGUGCCAACAGCCCUGUCCCCACAGGACCUGGGAGCCCUGGGCCAGCACUUCUCCCAAUCUUCCCGAGUCACAGUGCCGAUCCCACCCACCCACCAUAGGGUGCACAGCAAGGCAUCCCAGGUGAGGCUUCCCACCCUCCCACAUGCCUGCUGGGCCCCCAUGACCCCUCUGCCACCCUGUAACUCCUCCUAUGCCCCAGCUUCUGGCCCGCUCCUCACUGAGCCACUCCCUGGGCGUCAGUCUGGAUCUGCAGCUGCAGCUGGAGCAGCUCCGAGGGAGGACUACCAUGGCCCUGGACCUGCCAUCCUCCCACUUGCAGUGCAGGAUCCCACUGCUGCCAAAGAGAUGGUCCAAGGAACCUCUCUCUAGCCUCAGGGGCUUCUUUCCUGCCACCGUGCAGCCCCACAAGCCAGGGGCAAGCCAGGAUGCCCUGUGGUUGUGGCGCCCCAGGCCAUCCCAAGCCCAGUGGCAGAGGAAGCUGCUCCAGUGGAUGGGGGAGAAGCCUGGGGAGCAGGAGGAGGAAGACGAGAAGGAAGAGGAGGAGGAGGAGGAAGACGAGGAGCUGGACCGGGCCUCGGCUUCCCUGAGCCCACACUCCAACCAGCAGCUGGAUUCCUGGGAACUGGAGGAUCAGAGUGCUAUGGACUGGACCCAGGAGCCCCGGCGGCGCAGCUGCGAGGCUGCCAGGACCCACCCUCAUCCCUGGCACCGUCAUGGAAGUUUGCUCUUGGAUGAGCAUUAUGGGCAUCUGCCCAAGUUUCUGCAUUUCUUCAUCUACCAGACCUGGUUCAAAAAGUUGUUCCCCAUCUUCAGCCUGCAGGUUGGAGGGAAUUGGGGAUGCCUGAGAAGCAUGGGUUAGGGUGAGGGACGGGAGAAGGUAGGGGCUGGCUUGGGUGUGACAUGGGAGCAGGGCCUCAGCAUGCUACUCUGCAGGCAUACCCGGAGGCGGGCACGGUCGAGGGCCUGGCCACGCUGUUGGUGGCCCUGCUGGAGAAGACCACGUGGGUGGACCGUGUGCACAUCCUGCAGGUGCUACUGAGACUGCUGCCCAACAUGAGCAGUGAUCUCCAAGGCCAGCUGCAGGGCCUGCUCGUACACUUGCUCAACGUGGACCAGCCCCCAAGCCUCCAGGUGUGCCCCUUGUCCUGCCCCCGGUUUUCCUCCCCACCCACUGGCCCUCAGCAAACACAUCCCCCCCGCCUGCCUCAGGACCAGAUGCAGAAGAAGUUUGUGAUGCUGGCGCUGCCGCUGCUCCUGGCCUGUUCCCUGGAGUCCCGGGACGUGGUGCUGGAGCUCAUGUCCUACUUUCUCUACUCUCCGGUGCCCUGCCGGUGAGUCGCGCUCCUGCCCGGCCCUCCCUGCCACUGGGAAGGCCUCUGGACAAGCCACACGCAUCUGUCCCAGGCCAGAGCUCAAGAAGCUGCUGCACAGGCUGGGCCUUCAGGACCCGGAAGGCUUCCUAUUCAAGGAGAUGAUGACCUGGGUCCAGGGCCCAGACCUGGACUCCAAGGCCGGCCUGCGCGCUCGCUGCUGCCAGAAACUGGAGGACAUGAUCCAGCAGCUUCAGGAGACCCCAUCGCAGACGUCAGUGGUCUCCGUGGCACCCACACGCGCCUCCGUGAUACCCUCGGGCAUCUCCUGGUCGCCCUCCAGCAUCUUCGGGAGGCUCUUGCAGGUCUCAGACGUGCCUUUGAUGGUGGUCUCACCUGCGGAGUCGCACUCUUUAGCCCCGGAGCUCCAGGCCCAGCGGACGCUGGCACCCACGCGCAGCUGGCGGACCCCUCAGCUCCGUCUGGGAGUGCUUUCCGAGACGCUGAAGAGCUUCUGCCUGGAGCCCGAGGCCCGCCUGCACCCUGCCGGGCCUGCUCAGCUGCCCGGAGAGCCGCCACCGCUGGAGGAGACCGACUGGUCGCACUCGCAGCUGCUGGACUUGGUCCCCAUCGACGCUCUCAACUUCUUCUGUGAGCAGCUGUGGGCGCAGCAGCGGAGCUCGCUCCAGGAGGAGGCUGCGCACCCACACCCGCACCUGCCAGUGCCCGACACGGUGGCGCCAGUGCCCGACACGGUGGCGCCGGUGCCCGACAUGGUGGUGCCACCUCCACGGGAGCACUGGUACCACCCCAUCCUCCGGCUGCAGGAGGCCAAGGCGCAGAGGUCCGCGAGGUCUGCGAUGAGACUGAGGGGCCCCAUGCCGCCCCGGCUCUGUGCAGGCCGCACCCUGGACGGCCCCAUCCGGACGCUGAAGCUGCCGCUGCCGCGUGUGGAGCCGCAGCCUUUCCCCCUGGACUGGCCCACGCCCCCGCGCCCGCUGCCCCCGCGGCUCCUGCAGCCCGCCCUGCAGCGCUACUUUCUGCCAAUGGACGCGGACCCUGACACCUACAGCUGACCGGGCUGGUGGCCUCAGCCCGCCUGGCUCUGGGGCCUGUCAUUGGUGUUUGGCCAAGGCCUGCGUCGGGAAUAAAGUGCAGAGCAUUU
rnacentral:sRNA from 1 species